rnacentral:tRNA from 1 species
GGGCGGAUGUAGCCAAGUGGAUCAAGGCAGUGGAUUUGUGAAU